rfam:Brassica napus, WGS project CCCW01000000 data, contig: 20601
AAACCAUGGUGUGGGCAUUGAGCUUGGUAGCCCUUGAAUCUCUCCCAGGCUUCACUGAAGCCUUCCAAGUUCUUCUGUUGAAAGCUGGAAAUCUCGUUUCUCAGCUU